rnacentral:rRNA from 1 species
GAUGAACGCUGGCGGCGUGCCUAAUACAUGCAAGUCGAGCGAACGGACGAGAAUCUUGUUUCUCUUAUGUUAGCGGCGGACGGGUGAGGAACACGUGGAUAACCUACCUAUAAGACUGGGAUAACUUCGGGAGACCGGAGCUAAUACCGGACAAUAUUUUGAACCGCAUGGUUCAAAAGUAAAAGACGGUCUUGCUGUCUCUUAUAGAUGGAUCCGCGCUGCAUUAGCUAGUUGGUAAGGUAACGGCUUACCAAGGCAACGAUGCAUAGCCGACCUGAGAGGGUGAUCGGCCACACUGGAACUGAGACACGGUCCAGACUCCUACGGGAGGCAGCAGUAGGGAAUCUUCCGCAAUGGGCGAAAGCCUGACGGAGCAACGCCGCGUGAGUGAUGAAGGUCUUCGGAUCGUAAAACUCUGUUAUUAGGGAAGAACAUAUGUGUAAGUAACUGUGCACAUCUUGACGGUACCUAAUCAGAAAGCCACGGCUAACUACGUG